AGAGUUUGAUCAUGGCUCAGAAUCAACGCUGGCGGCGCGCUUAACACAUGCAAGUCGAACGAGAAAGUGGAGCAAUCCAUGAGUAAAGUGGCGUACGGGUGAGUAACACGUGGGUAAUCUACCCUCUGGUGGGGAAUAACUCUGGGAAACCGGAGCUAAUACCGCAUAAGACCGGAAGGUGAAAGGCGCAAGUCGCCGGAGGAGGAGCCCGCGGCCGAUUAGCUGGAUGGUAGGGUAACGGCCUACCAUGGCUGAGAUCGGUAGCCGGCCUGAGAGGGCACACGGCCACACUGGCACUGAAACACGGGCCAGACUCCUACGGGAGGCAGCAAUGGGGAAUCUUGCACAAUGGGGGAAACCCUGAUGCAGCGACGCCGCGUGAGCGAUGAAGCCCUUCGGGGUGUAAAGCUCUUUCGGCAGGGACGAUAAUGACGGUACCUGCAGAAGAAGCUGCGGCUAACUACGUGCCAGCCGCCGCGGUAAUAC
rnacentral:rRNA from 1 species